GGUUAAGCGACUAAGCGUACACGGUGGAUGCCCUGGCAGUCAGAGGCGAUGAAGGACGUGCUAAUCUGCGAUAAGCGUCGGUGAGGUGAUAUGAACCGUUAUAACCGGCGAUUUCCGAAUGGGGAAACCCAGUGUGUUUCGACACACUAUCAUUAACUGAAUCCAUAGGUUAAUGAGGCGAACCGGGGGAACUGAAACAUCUAAGUACCCCGAGGAAAAGAAAUCAACCGAGAUUCCCCCAGUAGCGGCGAGCGAACGGGGAGCAGCCC
rnacentral:rRNA from 1 species